rnacentral:rRNA from 2 species
UACAGAGGGUGCAAACGUUGCUCGGAAUUAUUGGGCGUAAAGCGCGUGUAGGCGGCUUGUUAAGUUGGUUGUGAAAACCCAUGGCUCAACCAUGGAAGGGCGUCCAAAACUGGCAAGCUAGAGUCCCGACGAGGAUGGCGGAAUUCCCAGUGUAGAGGUGAAAUUCGUAGAUAUUGGGAGGAACACCGGUGGCGAAGGCGGCCAUCUGGGAGGGCACUGACGCUGAGACGCGAAAGCGUGGGGAGCAAACAGG